rnacentral:rRNA from 1 species
UUCGCAAUGCCCGAAAGGGUGACGAAGCGACGCCGCGUGCGGGAAGAAGGCCUUCGGGUUGUAAACCGCUGUCGGGAGUUAAGAAAUGUAAGGAUGUUAAUAGCAUCUUUGCUUGACUAAGGCUCCGGAGGAAGCCACGGCUAACUCUGUGCCAGCAGCCGCGGUAAUACAGAGGCGGCAAGCGUUGUUCGGAAUUAUUGGGCGUAAAGAGCACGUAGGCGGCUACGUAAGUCGGUUGUGAAAGCCUUCCGCUCAACGGGAGAACAGCAUCCGAUACUGCAUGGCUUGAGUGCGGGAGGGGAGAGUGGAACUUCUGGUGGAGCGGUGAAAUGCGUAGAUAUCAGAAGGAACGCCGGCGGCGAAAGCGGCUCUCUGGCCCAUAACUGACGCUGAGUGUGCGAAAGCUAGGGGAGCAAACGGGAUUAGAUACCCCGGUAGUCCUAGCCGUAAACGAUGGGCACUAAGUAGAGGGGUUUU